rnacentral:rRNA from 1 species
UUAGAUACCCCACUAUGCUCAGCCGUAAACUUAGGCAUCUAAAUACAAUAAGGUGCCCGCCAGGGUACUACGAGCAUCAGCUUGAAACCCAAAGGACCUGACGGUGUCUCAGACCCCCCUAGAGGAGCCUGUCUA